GGGGAAUUUAACAAAGAACAAAAAAGGUGGGCAUCUGCUGACAUGGGGGGGCGAAGUCAGGCUCUAGGCGGCGGGUACUCUGCAUCUU
rnacentral:miRNA from 1 species